GCAUCUUUCCAAAUCCGAAACGUCAAAUCGAAAUAUUGGUCGCGAAAAUGCUGAACGCUGAUAUUUGGAAAUCUUGGGAAAGAAGUGGAAAAUCUGAAUUUUUGAAACAAUGUAAAGCUCUACUGAAGGAGGAUAGCAGUCCUCUGUUCGGGAAAAAUGACCGGAAGACGGGAAUUUCGCGGGCAAUCUACGAAUUGGUAUCACAUGGCAUCCGGGGACAGAUCAAGAAGGAAAGCGCCCUGGCGAUGUUGGGCGAGCUAGCCAAUCUACACAGUGACAUUCCGUCGAUCAUGUUGGACAUCUUUGGAGUUUUGGAUGCGGAAACGGCUGCCGGAGGAGGGGGAAGUGGCGCGGAUGCUUCUACCGAAGAACGUGGUGCAUUCUGCUUUAUCGCAAAGGAAUCGGAGCGGUUUCUGUCGGAAAAGCUGCUGAAGGAACGGCUCGAGAUUGACACGCUGCAGGAUGUGGGGACGAUCAAGAAUAGGAGUUUCUAUACCAAGUUCAUCAAGGUGAAAACGAAGCUUUACUACAAGCAACGUCGAUUCAAUUUGUUCCGCGAGGAAAGCGAAGGGUACGCCAAACUGAUAACGGAGUUGAAUCAGGAGUUCAAUGAAUCGAACACAGUUCUAAGCAUACUGGAGAUUAUCAAAUCGCUGAUUGGUUGCUUCAAUUUAGACCCGAAUCGAGUGCUGGACAUUAUGUUGGAAUCAUUCGAAACCCGUCCGGAACACGAUAAGAUGUUCAUUCCGCUGCUUCAGUCGUAUAUUAACGAUGGAAAUAUCAUCUGCGAGGUGCUAGGCUAUAAAUAUCGACACUUUGCCGACAGUCGAACUCCAGAAUCGCUGUUCAAGGUGACGGCAUUGCUAUUGCAGCACGGAGUCAUCAAGUUGGAUGAUAUCUAUGCUUGGCUAAGCCCAACAGACAAGCUUAUCAUCACCGAAUGGGAAUCUGAUGUGGCGGAUGCAAAGGAAUUCGUUCGAAGGUUGAAUGUCGUUUCCACGAAUAAAGAUAAGGAACAGGAACCUGAACCGGAGAAGGAGGUGACACCGGAGAAAUACGCCACCAACCAAAAGUGGGGUCUUUGCGAAGCGCUACUCCACGUUGGCGAUUGGAAUACGGCCCAGCUUUUGCUGAAAAAACUUCCGGAACAAUCCGUAAUGGUCAAUGAGCGCAUAGCAAGGGCUCUCUGUCGACUGCUGCAUAUGAUAAUCGAACCAGUCUACCGUCUGAAGUGUGCACUUCCAUGCAACAUCAAAGGACGUCCAAUCAGCAACGGGCUCAGCAAAUUAGCACCGGCACCGGUUACCACAAUCUCCAAACUACGCAAUCACGCCUUUCCUAUGUUCACCGCCUUGGGACCCUCGCUGCACUACGAUUCCGUUCUGCUCUACAAGCUUCUCCGCUUGGUCCGCAUUAUCCUGACGGAAAUGAACGUCGAUCCGAUGAAUCCACCCGCAGUCGGAUCGGAGAACGAACAGCUCUACUACGACAUCAUAACCCUGCUGGAUGCUUCGAUUCUUCCGGCUCUCUCCUAUAUGGAUUGCAACUGUUGCGUGGCCGAAGAAAUCUGGUCGAUCGUGAAACUUUAUCCCUAUCAAUAUCGGUACAGUCUGUAUGCCCGCUGGAAGAACGACACCUACCAGCUGCAGCCGAAGCUGAUCCGCCGCCGAGGAAAUGCCCAGAAGCAAAUCAAGGCUCUGAUGAAGCGGGUCAGCAAGGAGAAUAGUAAACCGGUUGGACGGCUGAUCGGUAAACUGAGUCACUGUUCGCCGGGCUUCCUGUUCGAUUACAUCCUCCUGCAAAUUCAAAUCUACGACAAUCUGAUCACACCGGUAGUGGAUUCCUUGAAAUAUCUUACCUCCCUCUCGUACGAUGUGCUCGGGUAUUGCUUGAUAGAAUCGCUGGAACAAGUGGAUCGUAAUCCCAUGCAAAACGACGGGACGUCCAUUUCGCUGUGGUUGCAGAGUUUGGCCAACUUCUGUGGGGCCAUCUACAAGAAGUACAACAUCGAACUCAGCGGACUGCUGCAGUAUGUGGGCAAUCAGCUGAAGGCGCAUAAGAGCCUGGAUCUGUUGAUUCUGAAGGAAGUGGUGCAGAAAAUGACCGGUAUCGAAGCUGCUGAGGAGAUGACCUCCGAGCAAAUCGGUGCCAUGUGCGGUGGAGAACUGCUGCGAGGCGAGGCCGGAUACUUCAGCCAGGUGCGCAAUACCAAGAAGUCCUCCCAGCGUCUGAAGGAUGCCCUAGCCAGCAACGACCUAUCCGUGGCCCUGUGUCUGUUGAUUGCCCAGCAGAAGCACUGCGUUAUCUAUCGUGAAACGGCUUCUAGCCAUCUCAAGCUGGUCGGAAAGCUGUACGACCAAUGCCAGGACACGCUGGUCCAGUUCGGCACGUUCCUCGGGUCGACCUACUCAGUGGAGGAGUACGUCGAUCGGUUACCCACGAUUCACAGCAUGCUACAGGAAUAUCACAUCCACUCGGACGUGGCGUUCUUCCUUGCCAGGCCGAUGUUUUCCCAUGCCAUCAGUCAAAAAUACGAUCAACUACGCAAGGCGGAUCAAAACUCAAAGAAGCUGUCCACCUCGCAGAAGAUGGUCAAAUAUCUGGAGGCGACCGCAUUCGUGAUGAACCCGGUAAUCGAAUCGGUCCGUCCGCUGCAUCCACCCAAAGUUUGGGAAGACAUCAGUCCGCAAUUUCUGGUCACGUUCUGGUCCUUGAGUAUGUACGACCUGCAGGUUCCGGCCGAAAGCUACCAACGUGAGAUCAACAAACUGAAGCAACUUUCCAUUUCGGCGAUGGACUCCAAGGAACAGAAUGCAUCGAAGAACAAGAAGGAACAGGAACGACACGUGGCACUGAUGGAGAAACUGCAGGACGAACGGAAGAAGCAACAGGAGCACGUUGAUAAAAUUAUGCACCGACUGACAAGCGAGAAGGAUGCAUGGUUCCUGUCACGUUCGGCCAAGUCCGCCAAAAACGAAACCAUCACCCAGUUCCUGCAGUUGUGUCUCUUCCCGCGAUGUACCUUCACGGCCCUGGAUGCGCUCUACUGUGCAAAGUUCGUCCACACGAUUCACAGCCUGAAGACGGCCAACUUUUCCACGUUGCUUUGCUACGAUAGAAUAUUCUGCGAUAUAACAUAUUCGGUUACGUCCUGCACGGAAAACGAAGCUACUCGGUACGGGCGCUUCCUGUGCGCCAUGUUGGAAACGGUCAUGCGUUGGCACGCCGAUCAGAGCACCUUCAACCGGGAGUGCUCAAACUAUCCCGGAUUCGUGACCAAAUUCCGCGUCAGUAAUCAGUUCUCCGAAGCGAACGAUCACGUCAACUACGAAAACUACCGUCACGUGUGUCACAAGUGGCACUACAAGAUCACCAAGGCGAUGGUAUUCUGCUUAGAUUCCAAGGACUACAUGCAGAUUCGAAAUUCGCUGAUCAUCCUGAUGCGCAUCUUGCCGCACUUCCCGGUUCUAGCCAAGCUGGCACAGAUCAUCGAGAAGAAGGUCGAGAAGGUACGGGAGGAGGAGAAGAACCAACGCCAGGAUCUGUUCGUUCUGGCUUCCAGCUACAUCGGGCAGCUAAAGGCCAAGGCCGGACAGAUGAUGCGCGAAAGCGACUUCCAUCAGGUGGCGGAGAAGCCCGUCAAGGUGGAACCGCAGGAAUCGAAGGCAAUGAACGGGGAUAGCAAAAGUGAUCGUAAAGAGAUCAAGUCCGAAAAAAAGAUCAUCGUCGUCAAUAGUUCGUCGUCCAGUUCGAAGCUACAACUGAACUCGUCUAGUUCAGCGGCAAACUCCAACAACGUUGGAAGCGGCAACAGCAGUAGCAAUCCGGAUGUCAAGAUUAUCGAGCGGGAAAUAAAGAAGGACACUCCGGUGAGAGAAUCGACCAGGGAAACAUCCGUCAGUAGCACUACGAAGGAAAAGUCGUCCAAGGAGAUCAAACGGGAGGAACGGGCCCGUGAGAAGGAACGCGAACGGGAGGAAUCAGCCGCCGAACGGAAGCGCGAGAAAGAGAAGGAGAAACGACGUGACAAAACUACCAGAGCCGCCCUGGCAGCUGCGGCCGCCGCCGAGUUUGAGCUCCAACAGCAGCAGCAGCUACACACCAGUGAACGGGAUUCGCGCGCCAGCGAGAGGGACAGAGAUCGCGAUCGCACCGAACGGGACCUCAGUUCGGUGUCUAACUCCAGCAACGAGCAUCGUCGCAGCCAGGAUCCACCGGAGCACGAUAGAGAAGUCAAACGUCGCAAGCUGGAAAGUUCCUCGAAGGUUAGUAUUGUGGUGUAAACACACUUGACACAGAGUGCCAAUUCGUAAGAAAAGAUAGAGAAACAAAGAAAAAAGUGAUGUGCAAUGCCGAAACCGGAAAGAAAAGAAACAGGCGGUGAUAGAGAAAGGCAAGAAGAGAAGGGAGAGAGAGAGUGAGAAAUUAGUGUCUUGACGGGGAAAUCGCACAUCCGAUGGUGGCGUCGUAUGGGUUCGUUGUUCCAAUCCCAAACGGUGGCCGAUCGAUCGUCGCACAAGCUGCUGCAGGGGAGAGACGAGGCACUACAGACCAAUUACCGAUGGCCAAUGCACCGGACCAUGGACCGCAGGAUCAGAUAGGAGCAGUUGUUAAUUGAACUGCAGCGCCUAGACAGACUACUAGAACAUAAAACCGUGAAUCUUUCUUCCGUAACGCUUGACUUGAAGAUGACCCAAAAGUAGUAUUUUCGAAUAAAUUUUGACUCAACAUGGCCCUAGCAAUACUUGUAAUCAACAGACUUAAACUUUAGUCUGAAGGGUAGAUUCACGGCUGCGCUGAACCUGGAUCGAUGAUCACACGAUGUUCGAGAAGAUGGGACUGAGGACAACAUGAAUGGAUUCCGGGGAUGAAGAAAUGCGACAGGAUGAGUGAAACUACAACAGGAGAUAUUCGCACAACGCUGGAGGAAGAGGACACACCAUGUAACUGGAGCAUAAGUAACUAACGGGGCGCCAAUGAGUUAAGGAUUAAUAAUGCACUGACAAUCUUUUCAAAGACCACCACGCUAUCGGAAACAGCGCAUUCCAAGUCAAUCUGAAAUCAUCGUACCAAUACAAUAGAAUCGACUUAAUUAGGAACUCGCAAAGAAUGUGAUUAUAAAUUGUCAGUAGCCACAUUUCCAAUGAGAGAUUUAUGCAACUCAUAGCUAGCUUUCAAACACAUGACGAUUAAUUUUGGAAUCGCCCGAGCUGGCUUAGCAAGGCUCUUCAAUGCUUCUACAGUUUUGCAACCUAUUGCUAUAAGUAUAAGGAAAGAUGGAGCCAAUCAAGAAGGAAAAAUUCAAACCAUCGUAAAGAAAUACAGCAAGCCAACCAAACGCCCUUGGAAGCCGCCUACCAAACCCAGGAGCUCAAGCGGAGGAAAUGCCAAACCGUUAGAAGUCUUCGUUAAGUGCAUUGUUAAAUGUGUUCAGUUUGAUCAAGUGAUUCGUCGAUUCAAUUCAAUUAGCUAAAAAGGAACAUUUUACCGCCUUUUCUAACUUCAACGCAUAACUGCUAACUACUUUUAAUAUACAGCAAGUUUAGCAUAUUCGCGUAAAUAAUUCCACACACUAACUCUGCCAACCGAAUAAUUAAUAAAACCGUUGUUAUUAUAUUGAAUACGAAAAGUGCAUACAUCCGUUGAAAAAAAAAAGCAAAAUCGUUCAGCAAACCAGAAUUCCACAGUUUCCAGUUGGCAAUCCGUCAAUCUCCCCUGCACAAUUGCCAUCCGUGUCCGGAAGUCUCGAAACCUAGCGUGUUUGAUCCUGCCCUGGCUCGGCACUCUACCGGUCGGCAGUUUCCUUGUUAACCAAUCCGUUGAAGCGCUCGUAGUCGUAGUUCGUAGUCCUCUCUUCCGUGGGCCUGUGCCAAGAGCAAACACGAAGGCGACGCCAUUACGAUGCAGUCAUCAUCGUCGACCGAGUCCAAAAAAGAACGCAGCAGCAAAACCAAGGACAAGCGUGACAAAACCGACGAGGAGAAGGAACUUCGCAAGGAGCGUAAGCUCGGCAGAAAGAGGG